GGUUAAGCGACUAAGCGUACACGGUGGAUGCCCUGGCAGUCAGAGGCGAUGAAGGACGUGCUAAUCUGCGAAAAGCGCCGGCGAGGUGAUAUGAACCUUUGACCCGGCGAUGUCCGAAUGGGGAAACCCAGUGCAAUCCGUUGCACUAUCGUUAACUGAAUACAUAGGUUAACGAGGCGAACCGGGGGAACUGAAACAUCUAAGUACCCCGAGGAAAAGAAAUCAACCGAGAUUCCCCCAGUAGCGGCGAGCGAACGGGGAGCAGCCCGGAGUCUGAAUCAGCUUGUGUGUUAGUGGAACGGUCUGGAAAGUCCGACGGUACAGGGUGAUAGUCCCGUACACGAAAAUGCACAUGCUGUGAACUCGAAGAGUAGGGCGGGACACGUGGUAUCCUGUCUGAAUAUGGGGGGACCAUCCUCCAAGGCUAAAUACUCCUGACUGACCGAUAGUGAACCAGUACCGUGAGGGAAAGGCGAAAAGAACCCCGGCGAGGGGAGUGAAAAAGAACCUGAAACCGUGUACGUACAAGCAGUGGGAGCCUCUUUAUGGGGUGACUGCGUACCUUUUGUAUAAUGGGUCAGCGACUUAUAUUCUGUAGCAAGGUUAACCGUAUAGGGGAGCCGAAGGGAAACCGAGUCUUAACUGGGCGUUAAGUUGCAGGGUAUAGACCCGAAACCCGGUGAUCUAGCCAUGGGCAGGUUGAAGGUUGGGUAACACUAACUGGAGGACCGAACCGACUAAUGUUGAAAAAUUAGCGGAUGACCUGUGGCUGGGGGUGAAAGGCCAAUCAAACCGGGAGAUAGCUGGUUCUCCCCGAAAGCUAUUUAGGUAGCGCCUCGUGAACUCAUCUUCGGGGGUAGAGCACUGUUUCGGCUAGGGGGCCAUCCCGGCUUACCAACCCGAUGCAAACUACGAAUACCGAAGAAUGUUAUCACGGGAGACACACGGCGGGUGCUAACGUCCGUCGUGAAGAGGGAAACAACCCAGACCGCCAGCUAAGGUCCCAAAGUCAUGGUUAAGUGGGAAACGAUGUGGGAAGGCACAGACAGCCAGGAUGUUGGCUUAGAAGCAGCCAUCAUUUAAAGAAAGCGUAAUAGCUCACUGGUCGAGUCGGCCUGCGCGGAAGAUGUAACGGGGCUAAACCAUGCACCGAAGCUGCGGCAGCGACACUAUGUGUUGUUGGGUAGGGGAGCGUUCUGUAAGCCGUUGAAGGUGUGCUGUGAGGCAUGCUGGAGGUAUCAGAAGUGCGAAUGCUGACAUAAGUAACGAUAAAGCGGGUGAAAAGCCCGCUCGCCGGAAGACCAAGGGUUCCUGUCCAACGUUAAUCGGGGCAGGGUGAGUCGACCCCUAAGGCGAGGCCGAAAGGCGUAGUCGAUGGGAAACAGGUUAAUAUUCCUGUACUUGGUGUUACUGCGAAGGGGGGACGGAGAAGGCUAUGUCAGCCGGGCGACGGUUGUCCCGGUUUAAGCAUGUAGGCGGAGGUUCCAGGUAAAUCCGGUACCUUUUAACGCUGAGGUGUGAUGACGAGGCACUACGGUGCUGAAGUGAUAAAUGCCCUGCUUCCAGGAAAAGCCUCUAAGCAUCAGGUAACACGAAAUCGUACCCCAAACCGACACAGGUGGUCAGGUAGAGAAUACCAAGGCGCUUGAGAGAACUCGGGUGAAGGAACUAGGCAAAAUGGUGCCGUAACUUCGGGAGAAGGCACGCUGAUGUGUAGGUGAAGCCCCUGCGGGUGGAGCUGAAAUCAGUCGAAGAUACCAGCUGGCUGCAACUGUUUAUUAAAAACACAGCACUGUGCAAACACGAAAGUGGACGUAUACGGUGUGACGCCUGCCCGGUGCCGGAAGGUUAAUUGAUGGGGUUAGCGGCAACGCGAAGCUCUUGAUCGAAGCCCCGGUAAACGGCGGCCGUAACUAUAACGGUCCUAAGGUAGCGAAAUUCCUUGUCGGGUAAGUUCCGACCUGCACGAAUGGCGUAAUGAUGGCCAGGCUGUCUCCACCCGAGACUCAGUGAAAUUGAACUCGCUGUGAAGAUGCAGUGUACCCGCGGCAAGACGGAAAGACCCCGUGAACCUUUACUAUAGCUUGACACUGAACACUGGUCCUUGAUGUGUAGGAUAGGUGGGAGGCUUUGAAGCGUGGACGCCAGUCUGCGUGGAGCCAACCUUGAAAUACCACCCUUUAAUGGCUGGUGUUCUAACGUAGACCCGUAAUCCGGGUUGCGGACAGUGUCUGGUGGGUAGUUUGACUGGGGCGGUCUCCUCCCAAAGAGUAACGGAGGAGCACGAAGGUUGGCUAAUCCUGGUCGGACAUCAGGAGGUUAGUGCAAUGGCAUAAGCCAGCUUGACUGCGAGCGUGACGGCGCGAGCAGGUGCGAAAGCAGGUCAUAGUGAUCCGGUGGUUCUGAAUGGAAGGGCCAUCGCUCAACGGAUAAAAGGUACUCCGGGGAUAACAGGCUGAUACCGCCCAAGAGUUCAUAUCGACGGCGGUGUUUGGCACCUCGAUGUCGGCUCAUCACAUCCUGGGGCUGAAGUAGGUCCCAAGGGUAUGGCUGUUCGCCAUUUAAAGUGGUACGCGAGCUGGGUUUAGAACGUCGUGAGACAGUUCGGUCCCUAUCUGCCGUGGGCGCUGGAGAAUUGAGGGGGGCUGCUCCUAGUACGAGAGGACCGGAGUGGACGCAUCACUGGUGUUCGGGUUGUCAUGCCAAUGGCACUGCCCGGUAGCUAAAUGCGGAAGAGAUAAGUGCUGAAAGCAUCUAAGCACGAAACUUGCCCCGAGAUGAGUUCUCCCUGAGACUUUAAGUCUCCUGAAGGAACGUUGAAGACGACGACGUUGAUAGGUCGGGUGUGUAAGCGCAGCGAUGCGUUGAGCUAACCGAUACUAAUGAACCGUGAGGCUUAACCUU
rnacentral:rRNA from 1 species